GACGAACGCUGGCGGCGUGCCUAAUACAUGCAAGUAGAACGCUGAAGGAGGAGCUUGCUUCUCUGGAUGAGUUGCGAACGGGUGAGUAACGCGUAGGUAACCUGCCUGGUAGCGGGGGAUAACUAUUGGAAACGAUAGCUAAUACCGCAUAAGAGUAGAUGUUGCAUGACAUUUGCUUAAAAGGUGCAAUUGCAUCACUACCAGAUGGACCUGCGUUGUAUUAGCUAGUUGGUGAGGUAACGGCUCACCAAGGCGACGAUACAUAGCCGACCUGAGAGGGUGAUCGGCCACCCUGGGACUGAGACACGGCCCAGACUCCUACGGGAGGCAGCAGUAGGGAAUCUUCGGCAAUGGACGGAAGUCUGACCGAGCAACGCCGCGUGAGUGAAGAAGGUUUUCGGAUCGUAAAGCUCUGUUGUAAGAGAAGAACGAGUGUGAGAGUGGAAAGUUCACACUGUGACGGUAUCUUGCCAGAAAGGGACGGCUAACUACGU
rnacentral:rRNA from 1 species